ACAGAGGUCCCAAGCGUUGUUCGGAUUCACUGGGCGUAAAGGGUGCGUAGGUGGCCGGGAAAGUUCGGUGUGAAAGCUCCAAGCUCAACUUGGAAAUGUCACCGAAAACUUCUCGGCUCGAGGAUUGAAGGGGAGACUGGAAUUCUCGGUGUAGCAGUGAAAUGCGUAGAUAUCGAGAGGAACACCAGUGGCGAAGGCGAGUCUCUGGGCAAAUCCUGACACUGAGGCACGAAAGCUGGGGGAGCAAACAGGAUUAGAUACCCUGGUAGUCCCAGCUGUAAACGGUGCACGUUUGCUGCGGGCGGAAUCGACCCCGCCCGUGGCGAAGCUAACGCGUUAAACGUGCCGCCUGGGAAGUACGGUCGCAAGACUA
rnacentral:rRNA from 1 species